rnacentral:rRNA from 1 species
UCGAGAAUUUUUCACAAUGGGCGCAAGCCUGAUGGAGCGACGCCGCGUGGGGGAUGAAGGGUUUCGAUCCGUAAACCCCUGUCAUUUGCGAACAAACCUUGAUUGCGAAUAGCGAUCGAGCUGAUUGUAGCGGAAGAGGAAGGGACGGCUAACUCUGUGCCAGCAGCCGCGGUAAUACAGAGGUCCCAAGCGUUGUUCGGAUUCACUGGGCGUAAAGGGUGCGUAGGUGGUCGGUGAAGUUCGGUGUGAAAGCUCGGAGCUCAACUCCGAAACGGCAUUGAAAACUCAUCGGCUGGAGGGUCGGAGGGGAGACUGGAAUUCUCGGUGUAGCAGUGAAAUGCGUAGAUAUCGAGAGAAACACCAGUGGCGAAGGCGAGUCUCUGGACGGCUCCUGACACUGAGGCACGAAAGCCAGGGGAGCAAACAG